UACGUAGGGGGCAAGCGUUGUCCGGAAUCAUUGGGCGUAAAGCGCGUGUAGGCGGCCCGAUAAGUCCGCUGUGAAAGUCAGGGGCUCAACCCUCGAAUGCCGGUGGAUACUGUCGGGCUAGAGUGCGGAAGAGGCGAGUGGAAUUCCUGGUGUAGCGGUGAAAUGCGCAGAUAUCAGGAGGAACACCUAUUGCGAAGGCAGCUCGCUGGGACGUAACUGACGCUGAGACGCGAAAGCGUGGGGAGCAAACAGG
rnacentral:rRNA from 1 species